UGCGUUAGGUCGCUGGCGCGCCGUAUCAGGUUGAAGCGGGACACGAUUUGCCGCCUCAUCGUCUUACUGCGUUACGCUGCACCCCUGGAAUGGCGCAAAGUUCUCGAUGAUCGCAUUAAGUGCUUUCGGUUCUCUCUGGUUUCCACUGAAUAUUCGCUGCAUUCUCAAAAUCCCCAAAAAGGACCCAAGAAAGAGAAGCAAAGCAAAGGGGCAACAAAAAUCCUAUUUUUACACUCCCCCUUCUUCUCUCUCGCGUUCUAUCUGAGGUCUGUUGCGGAGUUCCGAUGGCGGAAAUGUAGCGGAAUCCCGCGAGGAGAAGGGCUCCUGGUUCCGAAAUUAGGUGGUUUUUGUUCUCUUUUCUUCUUGGGUCGGAGAGAUGCCGAUGAUCCGGUACCAGAUAAGGAAUGAGUACGGAUUGGCGGAUCCGGAGCUCUAUGGAGCUGCGGAGAGAGAUGAUCCCGAGGCGCUUCUCGAAGGGGUCGCCAUGGCCGGCCUCGUCGGCAUCUUGAGGCAGCUCGGAGAUCUCGCCGAGUUUGCUGCAGAGAUAUUUCAUAACUUGCAUGAAGAAGUGAUAGCCACUGCUGCUAGAGGGCACGGGCUGAUGCUUCGUGUCCAGCAGCUAGAGGCAGAGUUUCCAUCAAUUGAGAAGGCCUUCUUCACUCAGAUUAAUGAUUCAAAUUUUGCUUGCAAUGAUGGUAUUGACUGGCAUUCUAAUAUUGAAAUGGAUCAGAAUCUAAUCACACGAGGAGAUAUGCCUCGUUUUAUCUUGGACUUUUAUGAAGAAUGUCAUGGUCCACCUCGAUUAUUUACACUGGACAAGUUUGAUGUUGCUGGUGCUGGGGCAUGUUUAAAAAGAUAUUCUGAUCCCUCUUUCUUUAAGAUGGAGUUGCCCUCUUCUAGAAUGCUGGAAAUAGAGCUUCCAAGAGAAAAGAAAGCUCGUAAGAUCAAGAAGGGUUCACGGUGGAAGAAUGGUCAAACACUUGAGUCCUUAUUGGCACCCCAUGCUGACUCUGAUUUGCAGCCCAUAUCUUCUGACCAAGUUUCUGAGAAAACUUUGAGGCAUGUGAGAUUGAAAUCUAGGCACUUGAAUGGUAUGCGGAGAAGCAAUGAAAGAUGCUUAAUGGAGCAUCUACUUGAAAUACAUUCAUCUGAGCAGAACAUUUUGUUUGGAAAUUCCAUAAGCCACUCCCACGUAAAGGUAAAUCCAAUUGAUUCAAAUGAACCAGCUUCUGAAAUACAUGAAAUUGUAGUUGAUGCUUUGGCUGAUCGCACGUUAGUUGGAGACCUAAAUCCAAUUCAGUCUCCUAUUAAAAUAGAAGUCGCAGGGUUGUCUUCAUAUGAAUUGGAGACUCAGAAGAUAAAGAAUAAAGAAUUGUCAGAGGCACUGCAUGACUCAUUUGGUGAAAUAAGAAUGACUGACUCAGACUAUCCUGUUGUGGAGCAAAAAGAAAUGUCCACUGAGUCUGGAUAUAAUUCAGAAGGCAGUGUUGAUGGUGAUGUAUCUGGUGAACCUGAAAAAAGUUCUCCAGCACCUCAGGUGGUCUGUCAGAACAAAUUGUUGGGUAAUGCUGAAGGCAUAUCAGAAUGCGGUGUUGAUGGCUAUAGGUCCGAUGACAUUAGUAGUGAGCUGGAUAAUUUUGUGGAUGCAUUGAAUACAAUAGAAUCAGACAUAGAAACAGAUUCUGAAAGCGGAGCUAAAGCUGAUCCAUGUGUCUUCGACAUGGAAUCUCAUGGAAAGGAUUCUGAUAGAAACGAGGUACAACAGGUGUUGCAAGUUCAAUUUUCAGAACCAGAUUCUGUUGAUAACUCUACCAAAUCAGUGAGCUCGGAUAAUAUGUUUACGAAUGAAAUUACAAGUAUUUCCGACUCAGAUUCAAGUAAUUUGACUGUUGCACAGCCAACUCAAAAGAAUAUGGUUUCUUUUGAUUUGCCUGCCAAUUCAGAAGUAUGCCCUGGUAAAACCUUUGAAAAGACUACCAAAACAGAUUUUGAAGAUGCAGCAAAAUCUGAUCAGGGUGUCUUCAACAUGGAAUCUCAUGGAAAGGAUUCUGAUGGUAACGAGGCGCAAUGGGAGUUGCAAGCUCAUUUUCCAGCACCAAAUUCUGUUGAUAACUCCACUAAAUCAUUGAGCUUGAACAAUAUGUUUAAGAGUGAAACGGCUUGUGUUUCUGACUCAGUUAUUAGAACUAGUUCAAUUGUUGCAGAGCCAAUCCAAAGGAAUAUGGUUUCUGUUGAUUUGCCUGCUAAUUCAGAAAUUUGCCCUGGCAAAACCCACGAUAGAACUCCUGGAGAGCUCUGGCAAAAUAACUCUACCAAAUCAUUGAGCUCAGAUAAUAUGUUUAAGAAUGAAAUUACAAGUAUUUCUGACUCAGAUUCAAGUAGUUCGACUAUUGCACAGCCAACUCAAAGGAAUAUGGUUUGUUUUGAUUUGCCUGCCAAUUCAGAAAUAUGCCCUGGUAAAACCUUUGAAAUGAGUACUGAAACAGAUUUUGAAGAUGCAGCAAAAUCUGAUCAGGGUGUCUUCAACAUGGAAUCUCAUGGAAAGGAUUCUGACAGUAAUGAGGUGGAACGAGAGUUGCAAGCUCAUUUUCCAGCACCAGAUUCUGUUGAUAACUCCACUAAAUCAUUGAGCUUGAACAAUAUGUUUAAGAGUGAAAUGGCAUGUGUUUCUGACUCAGAUAUUAGAACUAGUCCAAUUGUUGCACAGCCAAUCCAAAUGAAUAUGGUUUCUAUUGAUUUGCCUGCUGCUUCAGAAAUUUGCCCUGGCAAAACCCAUGAUAGAACUACUGAAGAGAUCUGGCAAAAUAACGAGGCUAUGGAACUUAAUUCUUUGGAUCAUUUUGUAUCUAAUUCUUGUGUUAUAGAUUCAACUUCUGUUCUUGUUAGCAUUCAUCCUCAAUGGAGUACUUAUGUAUCCCAAUCCAUUACCAGGGAGCAAAAUGGCUUACCUUUAGGUUUUCCUCUUGAGAGUGAUCAUCCUGAAAUGCUCCAUCCUGCAGAGCAUGUUGAAGAACUGAUUUCAGAAGAUAUAGCAGAAUCAUUUGACAUGCCUGAUCACCUUUCUCAAAUAGAAUGCAGAAGUAUGUUGAGAGAAGCUCCUUCAGGUUGUAUUGAAGACUUAUUGAUUUUAUUACCUGCAUCUGUAGUAGGAGAGUCACAAGAAUCAGUGGAACCUGAUACUAGGGCUUGUUCAGGUGUUGGCAAAUCACCAAUCAUCUCUGCUUUUUCCCCUGCCAUCAAUUCUAUUACUUCACAUCUUGAUGGCUUGGUUACAGAUCUGGAAAAUGGUGUGCAACCUGAAGAUGCACAUGCAGAGAGAUCAUCUGGCGUUGUGGAAGACAGUCAUGACAUAGCUGAAGAGUUCGAUGGUUCAUGCCUUGAGACUAAAGAUGAAGAUGUUCCUGAAAAUAGACGUCCUUCAGACUAUACUGUAGAGCUAAAUUCAGAAGAUAAGGCAAUCACACUGGACAUGACCAAUCAUCAUUCCCAAGCACGAGAUGAGUGUACUCUUGGAAAGGUUCCUACAGGAUUUGGAGAAGACUUAACACUUCCUUCAAAUGGGUGCAUAGGAGAGCUGCAUGAAUCUAUGAAACAAUAUACAGAAGCUUAUUUAGGUGGGAACAUAUCAGCUACCAUCCCUUCUUUGUCCCCUGAUAUCAGCUUUACUGUUCACCUUGAAGACUCAGCUGCAGGCAUGGAAAAAGUAGCUGCACCUAGUGAACAUUUAGCAUGCUUGAGUUCAAGCCUUGAAAAUGCUGAAGAAAUGGCUAAGGUUAAUAUUUCAAUGCCCAAGACACUGUCCCCUGAGUUGGAGUACUUUUCUGAUGCUGAGGAGCCUCAAGAGUUCCCUCAUGUGGUCUCAGCAGGGUUUACCCAUUUGUAUUCUGUAGAAGACACCUGUCCUACUGAUGUGCAGUUGCAGUGUAGUGUUCCCAACCAUGAGUUGAUUGAAUGUCCCAUUCCUGUUGAUAAUAAUUUGAAAUUGCUAGAUGAGCCCACAGAACAUCUCUCUCAGGAGAAUACACUGCAGACAGGAGGGCCUGCACAGUGUGAUGACCUGGCAGCUGAGAAUGCAAUUUUUAAUGAUAACAAUGGUAAUGCACGUCCUUCUUCAACCUAUACUCCAGAAACAUUAGGCCUUCUAGUAAAGCCACAAGAAAAUAGUAUUCCUGAUGAUGCCUUUCUGUACCAGCACGUAGUGGAGAACCAAGAGACAAUUAGUCCAAAGGACACAACAGCAUUGGAUUCUCAAAGCACUCCGCACUUGACUCUUCCUUCAAGUGAGGAAGAUCAACUUGUGUCUGCUCCUACUGCUUCCAACCCUGAGUUAUCCAUUUUAGAUUCAUCUGAUCCAUCUGCUUCUGGAUUACUCAGUGGUGUUUGCCAAACAAAACUAUCUGAAGGUGUCCAAAAAGAUCUGCAUUCUGAUAACAAUGAAGUAAAUUCAGGAUGUUCCUCAGAAAGCAAACAAGAUCUUAGUUUAAGUGCUUUGCCACAUGGUGUUUGUGAAAGUGCAGAAGAGAAGCCUCCAACUAUUCAUUUCCUUUCAGAACCAACAAUUCCACUCGAAGAAGCAGCCUCCAAAUCACAGGUUGUCAGUGAACUGAAUGUGUUCCCUGUACAUCAAGAGGGUGAGCAUCUUGAUCCAGGCAUUCCAACUAGUUCUAUUGACCUUAAUGAUGAACUUUCAGAACCAGGGCCAGAACAGAGGUCCCAUGACUCUGCUAGUGAUGGAGAUGUUAGUGAGUUGGAUAUAUCACCAUUGAACAAAGCCAUGUGUGGGCAAGCGGAGCCAGAAACUUAUGUUUCUUCUGCAUGCAGUUCUGCAGGUAUCUCAAGUUCUUUGGCUUCUAAUGUUUCAGCUGUCACAUUACCACCCUUUGCAAGCUUUGACAUUGCCGUUUUGGAAACUUCUUCUCAAUUGCCCUUUGAGCCACGGUUUGAUGAACCGGCCUCCAGUUUUCCUUUACAAGGUGUCAAAGAACCACCUCCGCUUCCCCCACUCCCCCCACUCGAGUGGAGAAGGGGGAAGCUUCAACUUUGCCCUCUAUCAUCAAGUGGAAAUUUAUUUCAAUCUCUGAGUGGAACAAAUUCGCUAAUGGCAGCAUCAGCUGCAGAUUGGAAGCAUGGACAUGGUUUAUUGGAAGAUGAAGGUGAAAUGGUUAAGCUGGCAAACGAAGUUGUUGUUAUGCCGGUGUUGGAAGCUAAGAGUUCUCAGCAUGAUUUGUUCAAAUCAGAUGGAGAAAAGAUGCAUCCCUUUAGGUUUUCUGAACUGCCACCUAGUGCUGGUGAUGAGAGUUAUCAACAUGAUGCUUCAUUUUUGGAGGGGAAAACUGUGCAUCCUUCCACCCCUUCUUUAAUAGUUCCAGUUGUAGAAAAUGAGAAGCAACUAUCCAUUCAUGAUGAAGUGGGGGAAGUGAUGUUGCAGCCAUCAAACCCAUUUGCAUCAUUAUCGAUAUUGGAUGAUAAGAUCUCUCAGCAUCCCACAGUAUUACAUGGAGAAAUACUACAGCCUUCAGAGGAUGCAAGUUCUCAACGUGAUUGGUUGCUAACAAGUUUAGAGUCGGAGACAUCUCAAGAGUUAGGGCAUGGUCACUUAAGUUUAGACAGAGAGACUGUGCAGCCUUUGAACCCAUUCUUGGUUGGAUCAGAUAGAGAAGAUGAGAAGCAUCAGCAUGGCUGUGGAAUUUGUGGAGGUGAAAAUAUGCAGCUUCUGCAAUCAUCAAUGCGAAUACCAACAACAGCACCUGAGUUGCCUAAGCUUGGUUGUGUAACUUUGAGGGAAGAAAAUCAAUGUUCUCAAUUUGAUGUUUUACCACCACCAGAUGAUGAGAACUUAAAUGUAGAGCCUCAUUCCAUUCGUAGUCGGCUGAGAGAUCCUCUGAUUGAGGCUGUCGCUGCUCAUGAUAGAAGCACGAUGAGAAAGGUAUCAGAGAUGGUUCUAUCUUCCAAUAAGCCAAAGGCAGAUGAAAGGGAUUCAUUACUAGAGCAGAUAAGAAACAAGUCCUUUAACCUGAAACCAUCAGUUGUCACAAAAUCAAACGUCAAGGGUCCUCCAACAAAUCUAAAGGUUGCUGCUAUCAUAGAGAAAGCAAAUGCAAUCCGCCAGGCAUUUGUGGGAAGUGAUGAAGACGAUGAUAAAGAUACUUGGAGUGAUUCUUAAGCAUGGACCAUUUCUUGAAACUAUUACAGUGCAGUUUGAGUGAUUAGUAAGCACCAAUCACUUCUCGAACUUUUGGAGCUUUCCAUAUCAGAAACAUGCCAAUCAUGUGAGUCUUCCUUGAGCUAUACCGUUGUUGAACUGACAGAAAUGAGAUGCAUCAGUGAUAACAAGGCAUAAACCAAAGGAUCACCACAAAAGGAAGUGGUUUGGUUCAUGUGUAUAUAUUGUGAUGUAUAUAAUAUUCUUUUUGAUCUUUUCUUCUGUGUCAAAAUGUAUUCUUUAGUCAGCUUGUAUUCACCAGUGAGGGCUAUACAGUGAGGUCUUGUUGCCCGCCAGCGCAGACUUAGUGCAGUAUUUAUGUGACCAAAGGUUGCGGAAAAUUAAUGUGCACUGCAGAUUUCAUAUCUGGUUCCUCACUUUCAGCUUUUGCACCAGAUUGGAACCUUAGAAUCUCAGAGCUGCAAUUAACGAUGCAGACUGUAACUUUAAAGUCAGGUGAGCAAUAGGUGCUUUGUGAGCAUUGGGAGGUUAAGCAUUAGUUCACAUAUCUGCAGGCUGGACUCAUUUUGAUCUUACUCCAAGUUAUCUAUAUAUCAGAAAUGUUUUCAGCAACAAACUGAAUCACGUACAGCAAAUCACAAGCAUAACUAGUAUAUGUUCAAACUGGUCUCGGCACUGGGUGUGUGGGAACUUGUAUAUGUUUGAACUAGUGUCGGAACUGGCUAUGCAGGGACUACCAUUGAUCUCACCAUGUCUGAGCUAGUCUUUAGACGUUGCAUGUUGUCAGGGGGUAUAAGGUUUCGAUUGAUUUGUGAUCAAUUUUCAUAUCAAAUUGAUUUGAAUGGGUUUUUU